rnacentral:lncRNA from 12 species
UGAGCUCCUGAGUUUUCUGAUUGGAAUCUUCUAUUACUCUGCCUCUAGCCUCUGAUGUUUCCCCAUGGGACAUAGCCAAAUGCACAAAAAGUAAAGAGGAAUAACCUAAGCAGACUUCAGAAGAAUCAAGAGAACUUUUAAAGUACUGAGAAGCAGUGGAAAGAGGGCAAGGACACUGGAGCAAAACUAAAUAAAUUCUUUGUGAUAGUCC